rnacentral:rRNA from 1 species
CACCGCGGUUAUACGAGAGACCCAAGUUGUUAGACACCGGCGUAAAGAGUGGUUAAGAUUUGUCCAAGACUAAAGCCGAACGCCCUCAGAGCUGUUAUACGCACCCGAAGGUAAGAAGCCCAACCACGAAAGUGGCUUUAUAUUAUCCGAACCCACGAAAGCUAUGACACAAACUGGGAUUAGAUACCCCACUAUGCCUAGCCAUAAACAUUGAUAGUUAACUACACCCGCUAUCCGCCCGGGGACUACGAGCACCAGCUUGAAACCCAAAGGACUUGGCGGUGCUUUAGAUCCACCUAGAGGAGCCUGUUCUAGAACCGAUUACCCCCGUUCAACCUCACCUUUCCUUGUUUUCCCCGCCUAUAUACCACCGUCGUCAGCUUACCCUAUGAAGGACUUAUAGUAAGCAAGAUUGGCAUAGCCCAAAACGUCAGGUCGAGGUGUAGCGUAUGGAAAGGGAAGAAAUGGGCUACAUUCACUAGCAUAGUGAAACACGAACGAUACACUGAAAUACGUAUCUGAAGGAGGAUUUAGCAGUAAGCAGAAAAUAGAGCGUUCCGCUGAAACUGGCCCUGAAGCGCGCACACACCGCCCGUCACUCUCCCCGAGCUUACUAACCCUAAGUACCUAAGACCCUAAAACUGCAAAGGGGAGGCAAGUCGUAA